AACGUCUAGAAUCCCUUUCAUUGGUCCAUUAGCGGCUUUCCUGAAGGCCUCGUUCACCUCCUCUGCCGUUAUACCUUUCUUCUCGACGUUUAUAACAAGGUCAACCACUGAGACGUUUGGUGUUGGCACACGGAGUGCAAUGCCGUUGAGUUUACCCUUCAACUGCGGUAGUACUAGUGACACAGCCUUGGCUGCUCCUGUGCUGGUUGGCACUAUGUUCAGUGCUGCGGCUCUUGCACGCCUUAGGUCCCUGUGUGAUGCAUCUAGAAGCCUCUGCAACAAUUCAUUAUAUGUUACUAUUGGUUCAAGGAAAUGUAAUUAGUCAAAACUCACACUAACAUUUCAAUAAUUUGUUAUAC
rnacentral:lncRNA from 1 species